GUCGAACGCUUCUUUUCCCACCGGAGCUUGCUCCACCGGGAAAAGAGGAGUGGCGAACGGGUGAGUAACACGUGGGUAACCUGCCCAUCAGAAGGGGAUAACACUUGGAAACAGGUGCUAAUACCGUAUAACAAUCGAAACCGCAUGGUUUCGUUUUGAAAGGCGCUUUACGGUGCCGCUGAUGGAUGGACCCGCGGUGCAUUAGCUAGUUGGUGAGGUAACGGCUCACCAAGGCCACGAUGCAUAGCCGACCUGAGAGGGUGAUCGGCCACAUUGGGACUGAGACACGGCCCAAACUCCUACGGGAGGCAGCAGUAGGGAAUCUUCGGCAAUGGACGAAAGUCUGACCGAGCAACGCCGCGUGAGUGAAGAAGGUUUUCGGAUCGUAAAACUCUGUUGUUAGAGAAGAACAAGGGUGAGAGUAACUGUUCACCCCUUGACGGUAUCUAACCAGAAAGCCACGGCUAACUACGUGCCAGCAGCCGCGGUAAUACGUAGGUGGCAAGCGUUGUCCGGAUUUAUUGGGCGUAAAGCGAGCGCAGGCGGUUUCUUAAGUCUGAUGUGAAAGCCCCCGGCUCAACCGGGGAGGGUCAUUGGAAACUGGGAGACUUGAGUGCAGAAGAGGAGAGUGGAAUUCCAUGUGUAGCGGUGAAAUGCGUAGAUAUAUGGAGGAACACCAGUGGCGAAGGCGGCUCUCUGGUCUGUAACUGACGCUGAGGCUCGAAAGCGUGGGGAGCAAACAGGAUUAGAUACCCUGGUAGUCCACGCCGUAAACGAUGAGUGCUAAGUGUUGGAGGGUUUCCGCCCUUCAGUGCUGCAGCUAACGCAUUAAGCACUCCGCCUGGGGAGUACGACCGCAAGGUUGAAACUCAAAGGAAUUGACGGGGGCCCGCACAAGCGGUGGAGCAUGUGGUUUAAUUCGAAGCAACGCGAAGAACCUUACCAGGUCUUGACAUCCUUUGACCACUCUAGAGAUAGAGCUUCCCCUUCGGGGGCAAAGUGACAGGUGGUGCAUGGUUGUCGUCAGCUCGUGUCGUGAGAUGUUGGGUUAAGUCCCGCAACGAGCGCAACCCUUAUUGUUAGUUGCCAUCAUUUAGUUGGGCACUCUAGCAAGACUGCCGGUGACAAACCGGAGGAAGGUGGGGAUGACGUCAAAUCAUCAUGCCCCUUAUGACCUGGGCUACACACGUGCUACAAUGGGAAGUACAACGAGUCGCGAAGUCGCGAGGCUAAGCUAAUCUCUUAAAGCUUCUCUCAGUUCGGAUUGUAGGCUGCAACUCGCCUACAUGAAGCCGGAAUCGCUAGUAAUCGCGGAUCAGCACGCCGCGGUGAAUACGUUCCCGGGCCUUGUACACACCGCCCGUCACACCACGAGAGUUUGUAACACCCGAAGUCGGUGAGGUAACCUUUUUGGAGCC
rnacentral:rRNA from 1 species